GACGUAGGGCGCGAGCGUUGUCCGGAUUUAUUGGGCGUAAAGAGCUCGUAGGCGGCUUGAUAAGCGUGCGGUGAAAGCCCGGGGCUCAACCCCGGGUCGGCCGUGCGAACUGUCGAGCUGGAGCACUGUAGAGGCAGGUGGAAUUCCGGGUGUAGCGGUGGAAUGCGUAGAGAUCCGGAAGAACACCGGUGGCGAAGGCGGCCUGCUGGGCAGUGGCUGACGCUGAGGCGCGACAGCGUGGGGAGCAAACAGG
rnacentral:rRNA from 1 species